UACGUAGGUGACAAGCGUUGUCCGGAAUCACUGGGCGUAAAGGGCGCGUAGGCGGCCUGAUAAGUAGGGGGUGAAAUCCUGCGGCUUAACCGCAGGGCUGCCUUCUAAACUGUCAGGCUAGAGCACAGUAGAGGCAGGUGGAAUUCCCGGUGUAGCGGUGGAAUGCGUAGAGAUCGGGAAGAACAUCAGUGGCGAAGGCGGCCUGCUGGGCUGUUGCUGACGCUGAGGCGCGACAGCGUGGGGAGCAAACAGG
rnacentral:rRNA from 1 species